rnacentral:rRNA from 1 species
GACGAACGCUGGCGGCGUGCCUAACACAUGCAAGUCGAGCGGGAACCUCAGGAGGGGUAACCCUCUUGAGGGGAGAGCGGCGAACGGGUGAGUAACACGUGGGCAACCUGCCCCGGACACCGGGAUAACCCAGGGAAACCUGAGCUAAUACCGGAUACUCCGGCGUGAUCGCAUGGUCGCGCCGGGAAAGCUCCGACGGUCCGGGAUGGGCCCGCGGCCUAUCAGCUUGUUGGUGGGGUAACGGCCCACCAAGGCGACGACGGGUAGCUGGUCUGAGAGGACGGCCAGCCACACUGGGACUGAGACACGGCCCAGACUCCUACGGGAGGCAGCAGUGGGGGAUCUUGCGCUAAUGUGCGAAAGCGUGACGCAGCGACGCCGCGUGGGGGAUGAAGGCCCUCGGGUUGUAAACCCCUUUCGGCAGGGACGAAGCGAAAGUGACGGUACCUGCAUAAGAAGUCCCGGCUAACUACGUGCCAGCAGCCGCGGUAAGAC